AGAGAAAGCACCUCUUUCCUAGUUUCUUGCUUUAGGUUGAAAGAAAGAAAAUAGGAUAAUAAUGCUAUCCAAAAUAAUACAAUUCUUUCUUAAAAAGAAUAACAAAGUUGUCCCAGAAGGACUGCUAAAGAAAAGGCCCUGCAUCCUCAUCAUCCUCAACAAGAGCAACAGAAUCCAACCCAUGCAGACUCCCGGAAAAUCCUCCAAAAAGUACCUGGUGGAUUCUGCCUGAAGGGCCAACAGGAUGAAGAGGAACAAGUUUGAUUUUCUCAGUGCCAUACUUCAUAAACAUCAUCAUCCAUCUAGCAGAAGCAAUUGUGAGUGAGCUAAAGCAUUCCAAAUCUAGUGGCAACUAAUUAUUGGACAUGAAACCCAAAGAAUUAGUUCUGGGAAAGUAUUCCCUCCAAAUCUGAGGAAGUGGACUACGUAGCAAAAACAUUACAUUCACAUAAUGUUCUUCUUGGUUAUAUAUCUCCCAUUUAAGGAUAUCUAUGGAGAGAUAGCUGAUGAAAGAAACACAGCUAAAAUGAACUGAAUUAUGAGGCUCGAAGAAAAGUUAGAAAUGUCACAGCACCUGGAAUCUUGGCUCCAUGAAUAAUUAAGUCACAUCUUUGUUUUGCUCGAUGUCUUCUAGCAGGUGACAGAAAUGCUUCACCCACAUUACAUGCUUGCUUCAGUGCUGUCCUGCUCAAUGGUGACCAUUGAACAUAUCACAUUUGGAAUUUGUGCAAGGAUAUUUACAGUAUUUCCAAUAUUCAGGAUUAAGAGAUGAGCAAGGCGAAAGGAUAAAUACAGGCAGAUGUUUUAUAUGUACAGGAUAAAACCCAAAGCAAAAAAUAAAAUGUAGGACAAUAAUCAAAGCCACAACACAAAAAUAAAAUGUAACUCAGAAGGACACAACUAUAAAAGAGCUGAUUGCUCAACUGGACUGAGCAGUUAGUUGAAUAAAACAUUGGAAGAUAUUCCUAAAAGAGAAGACAUCAAGAAUCUCCAAGAAGUCUCAGAAGAUGUGACUCAAGAAUACAAAAGCCUUUCCUUCCUCAGUUGUGAGUCAUACAUUUCUGGACUCCAGAGACCUUAGACUGAAUUUAAUGGAGCGUCUAUUUCAAAUUUCAUACCUCAGUGAUACUAGGAUGGGCACCUUAAGUAUUUAGUUAUUGACUCAGAAUAGAUGACUGAUCCCAUUACACAGUCAAAUAUUUUACCCUCCAGUACCAUCCAAUCCACCCUCCUCUUCCCAAACACUUUGAAUCCCAUAUAUUCCAUUUGAUUCUUCACCUUGUUCUAAACAUCGACCGUGAGGACUCCAAUAUUUCCAAUCAGCAUAUGGAAGAUUGGAUCACUGACAUAUCUUCUACAGCAACAGACAAAUCCAUCGGUCUCCAUUCUUCCUUGCUCCACCUUGUCCUGAAUAUGCCCCAAUGUUCCAGUAUGGAGUCAAAGGGCUAUUGAGUUCUGAUCUGAGAUUGCAGGAAGUCAAGAAAUGUGGAUCUAAAUUGCAAUUAUUUCUUCCUUUGGAUUAAGUUAUGGACUGAAUCUGAGAGCUAAGCAUCUUGUUUAGGACUUAUUCUCUUUAUAAUUGUUUCAUACAGAAUAUUGCA